GUGAAAUAAAUCACAAGAUAACAUACACCCCUUUGUUUGAACGUGAACAUUUCUCCCAUCCCCUUUGUAAAUGAAAACACCCUUUCCUCGGUAGGAGGAAAGGGUGUUU
rnacentral:sRNA from 1 species